CGGGCACUCUGGAGAGACUGCCUACGCAAGUAGAGAGGAAGGUGGGGAUGACGUCAAGUCAUCAUGGCCCUUACGUCUGGGGCUACACACGUGAUACAAUGGCCGGUCCAAUGGGGCAAAGCCGCGAGGCUAAGGAAAUCCCCAACGCCGGUCUCAGUUCGGAUUGGAGUCUGCAACUCGACUCCAUGAAGGUGGAAUCGCUAGUAAUCGCGGAUCAGCACGCCGCGGUGAAUACGUUCCCGGGCCUUGUACACACCGCCCGUCAAGCCAUGGGAGCCGGGGGCGCCCGAAGCC
rnacentral:rRNA from 1 species